AUUGAACGCUGGCGGAAUGCUUUACACAUGCAAGUCGAACGGCAGCACGGGGCAACCUGGUGGCGAGUGGCGAACGGGUGAGUAAUACAUCGGAACGUGCCCAAUCGUGGGGGAUAACGUAGCGAAAGUUACGCUAAUACCGCAUACGAUCUACGGAUGAAAGCGGGGGAUCGCAAGACCUCGCGCGAAUGGAGCGGCCGAUGUCAGAUUAGGUAGUUGGUGGGGUAAAGGCUCACCAAGCCAACGAUCUGUAGCUGGUCUGAGAGGACGACCAGCCACACUGGAACUGAGACGCGGUCCAGACUCCUACGGGAGGCAGCAGUGGGGAAUUUUGGACAAUGGGCGCAAGCCUGAUCCAGCCAUUCCGCGUGCAGGAUGAAGGCCUUCGGGUUGUAACUGCUUUUGUUACGGAACGAAACGGCGAGCUCUAAUACAGUUUGCUAAUGACGGUACCGUAAGAAUAAGCACCGGCUAACUACGUGCCAGCAGCCGCGGUAA
rnacentral:rRNA from 1 species